AUGCACAUACUGUGAGCUCGAUGAGUAGGGCGGGACACGUGGUAUCCUGUCUGAAUAUGGGGGGACCAUCCUCCAAGGCUAAAUACUCCUGACUGACCGAUAGUGAACCAGUACCGUGAGGGAAAGGCGAAAAGAACCCCGGCGAGGGGAGUGAAAAAGAACCUGAAACCGUGUACGUACAAGCAGUGGGAGCCUCUUUUAUGGGGUGACUGCGUACCUUUUGUAUAAUGGGUCAGCGACUUAUAUUCUGUAGCAAGGUUAACCGAAUAGGGGAGCCGAAGGGAAACCGAGUCUUAACUGGGCGUUAAGUUGCAGGGUAUAGACCCGAAACCCGGUGAUCUAGCCAUGGGCAGGUUGAAGGUUGGGUAACACUAACUGGAGGACCGAACCGACUAAUGUUGAAAAAUUAGCGGAUGACUUGUGGCUGGGGGUGAAAGGCCAAUCAAACCGGGAGAUAGCUGGUUCUCCCCGAAAGCU
rnacentral:rRNA from 1 species